UUCUUCCUCCUCCUUAUUCACCUUUCAAAAUAAGCUUUAUAACUAGAGUCAUUGCUGAGGAUUCUUCUGCUCAUCUAUGCAGACCGAGUAUUUGCAGCAGCGUUUCAUUGGAAAUGGCACCAAUAGCAGAUUACUCCAGGUAUCAGUUUCAAGCACACUCCGUGAUGAACAUCCUGAACAUGAAACUGUCUCAGGUUCUGCUUCCUGGAGAACCCAAACUCUGACACCUCCUUAAUGUUGCUAGCGCUCAGAGAUCAAGGCAAGGCCAUAUAAUGCCUAGUGUCAAAAUCCAUAGUCUCCUUAUCAUUAUUUGUUUUCUUUCCAUCUAAGUGACUUGCAACAUUACGAGGAUAUGGUCUAAUGACAAUUUAAAGUCCCUCUUCCUGUUCCCUGUUGACACUUUUGAGCCUCUGUGUCAAGCUAACUCUCAAGGCUACCCCACCUCUAGACUUUCAAAAUAUGUGAGCCAAUAAAGUUCUUUAUGGUCAAUGCCAAUUUGCAUUAGGUUUUUUAAUUGUUGGAAAUAUUGAGAGCCCUGAGAUGAUCAAAAUAGAAAGAGUCAAUUGGUAAAGAUUGGAAAAUGAAGCAAAUAAGCAGAAAGAUCAAAGCUACCUAUAAAAAUUGGUUCCAGGAGUUGCCUCAGUGUUUGAACUCGCCAAUUCCAGAUCCAUACAAUGUGACUCUCUUCUGAUGGAAUCAAGAUAGAAAUCAUCUCUUCCACCUUUAGAAAAUUUUGAUUUGUCUGCGCAGCAUCUGUUCUCCCUUUCCUUCUGGUAAUAGACCACCCCACGAGUGACUGUGGAGCUAGGUAGGUGGUCCAGCCUGGGAUCGUAUUCUAUUCUCCUGGCUAUAGUGAUUGAUCCAGAGCUGUGCAUGGGACCUAUGCUAGGCCACCCACAGUCCUUCACCAAGAUUUCCUUUGAACUAGCUCCAUCAAAAGUCUUCCCCUCCCUAGAUGACAAGCCACACUGUUCAAUAUUUUAACCACUAGCUUCACGUUGCUAUUUAAAUUAAUUAAAAUUUGCAAUUCCUUUCCUCAUUCCCACUCCCACAGUUAAAGUGCUCAACAGCCACAUGUAGCUAACAGCUACUGUACCUGACAGCACAGAUAGAGAACAUUUUCAUCAUCGCAGCAAGUUAUAUUGAACAGCACUGAUACUCUGGCAACUACAGGUCCCAUCAAAAAGUGUGAGAAGGCAGGCCGGCCCGGUGGCUCAGGCGGUUAGAGGUCCAUGCUCCUAACUCCAAAGACUGCCGGUUCGAU